rnacentral:rRNA from 1 species
GACGAACGCUGGCGGCGUGCUUAACACAUGCAAGUCGAACGGAGUGGCGAACGGGUGAGUAACACGUGGGUGAUCUGCCUUGCACUUCGGGAUAAGCUUGGGAAACUGGGUCUAAUACCGGAUAGUGCAAGAUGAGCGGGCGGACUAUCAUCUUGUUGGUGGGGUAAUGGGCUACCAAGGCGUCGACGGGUAGCCGGCCUGAGAGGGUGUACGGCCACAUUGGGACUGGGAUACGUGCCAGACGCGUACGGGAGGCAGCAGUGGGGAAUAUUGCACAAUGGGCGGAAGCCUGAUGCAGCGACGCCGCGUGGGGAAUGAAGGCUUUUGGGUUGUAAACUCCUUUCGACAGGGACGCGGUACCUGUAUAAGAAGCACCGGCUAACUACGUGCCAGCAGCCGCGGUAAUAC